ensembl:lncRNA
AUUGUAAAAAAAAAAAAAAAACUUUAAAUAACUUGAUUUCUUGUUCAAAGUUUGCAGUUAGGCAAGUUUUCUAGUUGUACCUCUAAUCAUUAUAAUAUUGCAGAUUUAAUACUGUUCUUCUAAUAAAUCUGUUAAGUUCUCAAACAGAUUUUUUUGUGGUGCAGAUGCAGUGACUGAGAGGGAGAUGGGCCUUCCCAUGCCAUGGGGUGGUGAGUACUGAUAUAUUGGCAGUGGAUAAGACCCUUUUAAUAGUACCACCUUCUCUUCCUGCACUGUUCUCUCUCUGGCUUGGUUUCUAUCAUGUCAAUUGAUUACAUUUCUUUGGACUUUUGUUUCUUUCUCCAACACUGCUGUACUUAUAACAAACACUGAAGCUGAUUAUAAAAACAAUUGUGAGCUAGCUAAGCUUGCUAUUCUAAUUGGGGCAUUGUAAUCAACAACUGUGUUUUAUUUCAGUGUUCCAGAAAAAGGUCCUGAGCCUACUGGUCGACGUCCGCCAUCGGCUGAAGGAAACGCAGCCUGCCUCUUCAGCGGUCCAUAUAGAGAGGACUGACACCAUGGAGGACUUUGAGAUACAGGAGCAACGCCUCUCUGAUGCACAGGCCUUUGAUAUCCUGGUGCUGCACAUUUCAAGAAUUGGUGGGCGAAACACAAAGGACUGUGUCCACAAAGUGUUGGACAGGUAUCUACUUCAUUUUUUGCAUGUCCUCAUUUGCCUUCUUUCAAAAAAUGUCAGAAUAGGUAAAUUAAAUGAAGUUCACAACCAAAUGCAUUGUGUGACAGACCAGCUGUGCUUAAGGAGAUAAGUAGAGGGAUAAAAGGAGGACCACCCUGGGGACACUGAUGUCAACUGGUGUAAAGGGUUUAUUGCAUGUGAAAUGUUGUUCCUACAUAUAUCCUUCAUAUUAAUUUAUUGAAAUGUAUUUUUCUUUAGGCUCUUCACCAACAGCCUCAUGGCCAAAUUUAAUUUGAAGGGCAAGGGGAGGGGGAAACGCCCUUUAGAGGGAACAAAGGUUUAUAGAGCUAUAAAAGGUAAACCCAAGUUUCAUGUUGACCAGUCUAUAAAUUAUAAAUAUAAUACAUUUGGAAAAAAAAAACAUUUCCUUCCCUUCUGACUUUUAAAUAAAACAAUGCCAAUUAUCUAUCUUAAUAUAUCG